AUUGAACGCUGGCGGCAGGCCUAACACAUGCAAGUCGAGCGGAUGAAGGGAGCUUGCUCCUGGAUUCAGCGGCGGACGGGUGAGUAAUGCCUAGGAAUCUGCCUGGUAGUGGGGGAUAACGUCCGGAAACGGGCGCUAAUACCGCAUACGUCCUGAGGGAGCAAGUGGGGGAUCUUCGGACCUCACGCUAUCAGAUGAGCCUAGGUCGGAUUAGCUAGUUGGUGGGGUAAAGGCCUACCAAGGCGACGAUCCGUAACUGGUCUGAGAGGAUGAUCAGUCACACUAGAACUGAGACACGGUCCAGACUCCUACGAGAGGCAGCAGUGGGGAAUAUUGGACAAUAGGCGGAAGCCUGAUCCAGCCAUGCCGCGUGUGUGAAGAAGGUCUUCGGAUUGUAAAGCACUUUAAGUUGGGAGGAAGGGCAGUAAGUUAAUACCUUGCUGUUUUGACGUUACCAACAGAAUAAGCACCGGCUAACUUCGUG
rnacentral:rRNA from 1 species